AGGGGAAAACCACUCUGCUCAUUGCCCUCGAGUAGGCUGUGCCCUAAAGUUGCCCAAACGUGCCCGAAGGUGCCCGAAUGUUGCCCAAAUGUGUCCUGAAGCUUCUCAAAAUAAAUAAUUUGUGUACGAUGCUUAGCAACCCUGUUACUUUGUUUACACUUUUUUGGACUGCUGUCGGUUUGUGUUGUGAAUUUUUCUCGGAGGUCAAACAGCUGCUCGAGGAAUCAUACCUCCUGGAAGCGCCACAAUUCUAAGCAAAGGAAGGACCACCGAAAGCGCUUUAAGUCGCGAUAUCUUAUUCCCCGCGAUCCUGAGAUUGUCGCAAGCAUUCCCACAUGAGGAAAUCUCGCGUUGAAGCGUGUCUGUGGUGCCGAUCCCAAUGAAGCGCUGGUGAGAUCGAUUGGCAUGUCAACGACGUGUUGGUGCCGGAGCAACAGAUUUUCCGAAGGGCCAAAACUGGUUGGCGAUCAGCACAUUGGCAUGAUGGCUCACGUUGUAUCCGGAUUAAGUUUCAACACUACCUGAACACACCAAGAUGUUUGCGUCGGAAAGUUUAACACUUCCUGUCAGGAGCUGCGAGCGUUAUUCGUCGCCACUGCUCAGUUCAAGAUGGUCCCGGCCUCAACGCAGGUUGCGGUACAAGGACAAGAAGCCGUUUGCCUGGUGCAGUGCAAUUUGUACAUUCAAAACAUAAUCAACAAGCUAGUUUUAUUUUUAUUCACACAAAACUAUAUUUAUUUAUAACGACAUUCUUAAAUAUAAUAAAGAACACAUGAUCAACAAA